UACGUAGGGUGCAAGCGUUAAUCGGAAUUACUGGGCGUAAAGCGUGCGCAGGCGGUGAUGUAAGACAGAUGUGAAAUCCCCGGGCUCAACCUGGGAACUGCAUUUGUGACUGCAUCGCUGGAGUGCGGCAGAGGGGGAUGGAAUUCCGCGUGUAGCAGUGAAAUGCGUAGAUAUGCGGAGGAACACCGAUGGCGAAGGCAAUCCCCUGGGCCUGCACUGACGCUCAUGCACGAAGCG
rnacentral:rRNA from 1 species